rnacentral:tRNA from 1 species
GCCAGUAUGGUGGUUAUGACACUCGGCUUGUAACCGAGUGGUCUCGGAUUUGAAUCCCGAAUGAGGCA